rnacentral:rRNA from 1 species
UUGAACGCUGGCGGCAUGCCUUACACAUGCAAGUCGAACGGUAACAGGGAGCUUGCUCCGCUGACGAGUGGCGAACGGGUGAGUAAUGUAUCGGAACGUACCUUCAGUGGGGAUAACGUAGCGAAAGUUACGCUAAUACCGCAUAUUCUGUGAGCAGGAAAGCAGGGGAUCGCAAGACCUUGCGCUGAUUGAGCGGCCGAUAUCAGAUUAGGUAGUUGGUGAGGUAAAGGCUCACCAAGCCAACGAUCUGUAGCUGGUCUGAGAGGACGACCAGCCACACUGGAACUGAGACACGGCCCAGACUCCUACGGGAGGCAGCAGUGGGGAAUUUUGGACAAUGGGCGAAAGCCUGAUCCAGCCAUGCCGCGUGAGUGAAGAAGGCCUUCGGGUUGUAAAGCUCUUUCGGCUGGGAAGAAAUCGCACAGGCUAAUACUCUGUGUGGAUGACGGUACCAGCACAAGAAGCACCGGCUAACUACGUG